rnacentral:rRNA from 1 species
GAUGAACGCUGGCGGCGUGCUUAACACUUGCAAGUCGAACGAUGAAAGCGGGAGCUUGCUCCUGCUGGAUUAGUGGCGAACGGGUGAGUAACACGUGAGCAAUCUGCCCCGAACUCUGGGAUAAGCGUUGGAAACGACGUCUAAUACCGGAUACGACGCGCGAAGGCAUCUUCUGCGCGUGGAAAGAACUUCGGUCCGGGAUGAGCUCGCGGCCUAUCAGCUAGUUGGUGAGGUAACGGCCCACCAAGGCGACGACGGGUAGCCGGCCUGAGAGGGUGACCGGCCACACUGGGACUGAGACACGGCCCAGACUCCUACGGGAGGCAGCAGUGGGGAAUAUUGCACAAUGGGCGCAAGCCUGAUGCAGCAACGCCGCGUGAGGGACGACGGCCUUCGGGUUGUAAACCUCUUUUAGUAGGGAAGAAGCGAAAGUGACGGUACCUGCAGAAAAAGCACCGGCUAACUACGUGCCAGCCGCCGCCGUAAGAC